rnacentral:rRNA from 1 species
GGGCCCGCACAAGCAGCGGAGCAUGUGGUUUAAUUCGAAGCAACGCGAAGAACCUUACCAGGACUUGACAUCGUCUGCAUAAGCCGUAAUGGGUGAAAUCCUUCGGGACAGACAGACAGGUGGUGCAUGGUUGUCGUCAGCUCGUGUCGUGAGAUGUUGGGUUAAGUCCCGCAACGAGCGCAACCCCUAUUGCUAGUUGCCAUCAUUAAGUUGGGCACUCUAGUGAGACUGCCGGAGACAAUUCGGAGGAAGGUGGGGAUGACGUCAAAUCAUCAUGCCCCUUAUGUUCUGGGCUACACACGUGCUACAAUGGGUGUAACAACGGGAAGCAAGCUGGUGACAGCAAGCCAACCUCUAAAAAGCACCCUCAGUUCGGAUUGCAGGCUGAAACCCGCCUGCAUGAAGUUGGAGUUGCUAGUAAUCGCGAAUCAGCAUGUCGCGGUGAAUACGUUCCCGGGCCUU